rnacentral:rRNA from 1 species
GAUGAACGCUGGCGGCGUGCCUAAUACAUGCAAGUCGAGCGAACGGACGAGAAUCUUGCUUCUCUGAUGUUAGCGGCGGACGGGUGAGUAACACGUGGAUAACCUACCUAUAAGACUGGGAUAACUUCGGGAAACCGUAGCUAAUACCGGAUAAUAUUUUGAACCGCAUGGUUCAAAAGUGAAAGACGGUCUUUCUGUCACUUAUAGAUGGAUCCGCGCUGCAUUAGCUAGUUGGUAAGGUAACGGCUUACCAAGGCAACGAUGCAUAGCCGACCUGAGAGGGUGAUCGGCCAAACGGGAACUGAGACACGGAACAGAGUACUAAGGGAGGCAGCAGUAGGGAAUCUUCCGAAAUGGGCGAAAGCAUGACGGAGCAACGCCGCGUGAGUGAUGAAGGUCUUCGGAUCGUAAAACUCUGUUAUUAGGGAAGAACAUAUGUGUAAGUAACUGUGCACAUCGUGACGGUACCUAAUCAGAAAGCAACGGCUAACUACGUG